rnacentral:ncRNA from 1 species
AAGUUAUCACGAAAGGCGGAGGGAAAGACCCGAUGAAACCUUAGCAACCCUUUAUCUUUAAAGAAGGUGCUACAUUCUACUUUAUUCUGAUUUUAUUUCAGAACUAUAAGAU